ensembl:lncRNA
GAGCUGCAGGAGACACGGGUUCCAUCCCUGGGUCAGGAGGACCCCCUGGAGGAGGGCACGGCACCCACUCCAGUGUUCUCGCCUGGGAGAUCCCAUGGACAGAGGGGCCUGGUGGGCCCCAGUCCAUGGGGUCGCGGACAGUCCCACACGACCGAGAGACUAAGCAUGUGUGCACACGUGGCCCCUGCUCCCCCGUUCCUCGCCAGCUGCUGGAGGGGGUGGCUUUGUCAUCCACUCCCUGCCUGUGUGUGGUGAGCACUUCACAGCUGGCCCCACGCGUGCUCUGAGUGGUGAGCACUUCACAGCUGGCCCCACGCGUGCUCUGAGUGGUGAGCACUUCACAGCUGGCCCCACGCGUGCUCUGAGUGGUGAGCACUUCACAGCUGGCCCCACGCGUGCUCUGAGUGGUGAGCAUCUCACAGCUGGCCCCACGCAUGCUCUGAGGAGGCGGCCCCUGCCUAGGGGCAUGUGCCGCAGCGUGUCCGCUCACUGCGGAGCCCAGGCCACCACGAGGGCUCAGAGCCAGGGCCAGGCCUCUGGCUAGGCCCCGUGGCCUCAGCCAAGCCUGACGCACUGGCGCACCUUCCCUCCUUCCUGGGCGGCGUCCCUGUUCCCAGCAGGCUUCAGCCUGGGGUCUUCACAGUCCAGUCUUUGAAAUCAGCUGUGGGCUUUGGGCAGCCCCUGAGAGGAAAAAUCAUGGUCAACUUUGCG